AAUCCUGAAAAAAAUCAUUUGACUCAAUAGGAAAAUACAUCAAGAACAGGGUAAUGGGAAUCAUGGAAAGACAACUGUCAGUUGAUACGCGUCAUCCAUCACCUUAGUGAUUUACCUUCCCUGGAAAUUGGGAGGUUCUCAAUUACCUUAAUAGACUAACAGGCAGAAGGAAUGUCCAUGAGGAAUGGAAUAUGCAGCACUUCUCGAAUUGUUUUGUUCUCAGAACUCUUUUUCACACACAGGACUUCCUUUACUGCAGUCAAUCCUUCUCCAGUGUCUGCAAGACCUGACUCCCCCAGAACCCCCAAAAAUGUGUCUCCCCAAAUGGAUGGAUGGGAUUCAAGGAACUCCCGACCAUGGCUGUUUUGUUUAACACAAUCUAUCCAUUGCCUAACUAGACCAGACACAAAAUUGGUCCUCAACAAGUAGUGAAUGAACAUAUGGAUGGAUGGAUGAAUGAAUGAGGCCAACCUUGAAUUACUCCAAACCUAACCCAAGUAGGAAUGGUAGAAAUCAGAGGCUUAUGAGAAGUGAACUUAUUAAGAAGCUGGUCUGGGGCC